AGCAAGUCACUUCAUCAACUGUUGCCUCAUUGAUGCCUUGGGAGGAGCACACAGCAGCCUCCAGUCACCUAGGGCUGUCCUGCGAUCACACAGCGACGGUCGAGUCUGACCACUGAGGAGGGCAGGGCAGAGUUGCCCUCCCGGAAAGACAGUAUGCGAGGCUUUGGGUUUGGACCAAGAUAAAAGCUGGAGGACAGGUGCUCAACCACAGCGUGAGGACCCUCCCUUCACCGGGUGUGGACAAGGACAUCCACGUGGACCUCCUGAAAGCUGCUUCCCCCACCACAGACCCCUGGAGGCCCACUGACAGCUGUGGCAAGAACAGGUCCCAGCUUGUUGGGAAACAGGUUCCAGAACUGCACUUUGAGAAACACUACUGGAUGAGGCCGCGCGGAACAAGUGAAGAUUCUGCUUCAAACCCAUCUCUGUUUGUCAUCUAUUCAGAUGUAUGGAUCUUGACAUCCCAAAGGAAGUUGCAAGCUCCCCAACAAAAGGGACGUCAUCUUAAAUCUUUCUGUAUCCAAGACCUCAACCAUUAAGGUCUCAUUAAGUGUCAAAACUCCUUAAGAUUCCUGGAGGAGGAGUCCCAGGAAAAUCUACAACCCAACCAACACAGGGAGACUUUGUUUCUUCUAUUACCAACCGUGUCAGGCAACGUUGCCUUGUUGUGAUACAAUAGGAUUCCUUCCCUUCUCCUCUAUUCAUCUACCAUUGGGGGCACUUAGCAACUGGGGUCUAUGUCUGGGAGAAGCAUCUUUGCACAGGUAGAAAUAGUCACCAGGGAUCCUGGCUUUCCCACCCCCAGGCUCCAGUGGCUGUGUGCAAGCUGCCAACUGAAAGGCGAUACGUGCGUCUUGGCAUUGUUACACCCCUGGGUUAGCUGGUUUGAAUUUGGAAUUCUAAUCUGAUUGACUAAGUAACUUUUACUCUAAUGAGAACAGUAGGGUUUGGUCUUAAUCUGCAACCAUUUAAUCUUCCGUCUCAUUAAUUGUACAAAGGUCUUUAUGAAUAUGUAGAUUGGGAAGGGAAUAAAAGAUUAUUUGACCUUGAAGAAACA
rnacentral:lncRNA from 1 species